CAGGGAUCAAUCUCUUUUACAGUUCCUUCAAGUUCUUUAUGAUGCAGAUGAAUAAUUUCUGUAGAUCCUGAGCCCUGUGUUACGCCAGAGCGGGAGGAGAGUGGCUGCUGUUUUGAACUGUAGAAGCUGUUGACUGACUGGGUGAAAUAACCAGUGACAGCCAUUAAAAAUUGAUCAAGUUAAACGAACUUGGGAAGGAUCCAAAUCUCAGAGGAUCAGUUCGGAUGGUGAAGGCGUUGAGAUUUGCAGGAUAGGGGGUGGAAACAUAUCUGUCUGUAUAAUAUAAGCUGUUGGACGCUGAGGCACACUAAAAGCUGUAAGAGAACAUUUGGUAUUUCUUCUGGGUUUUUUGUUUGUUUUAAACAAUGGAAAAACUAACAUUUUUUUUCUUUUUUCUUAAAAUAGAGUUCCUCAGCUCUUGACAGUCUUGGCAAAAGAACCAUAAUAACUUUUCAGAAACUGCUGGUAGAGUAAUUCCUAUCUUCUGCACUGAGUAUUCAUUUACAGCUCAAACUCAUGGUACAAAUUGAUCACUGUAUCAAACCAUUGAACCUCAGGGGUGGAUACAGGUGCAUAACAGGAGACUGGAAAACCACGGACAGACCUGAGCCCAGCACAGGAAGAGAAAAGACAGAUGCAGAGGAUUGGCAAGAGGUCACGUUUUCCAGGCUUGUAAUGGAAAGCUGGAAGAAACAGAAAAGAAGUCGGAUAUUGGGAAACGUGUGAUGAGGUAUGUACACUGUAAGAAAAAUGAUGAAACCUGGUCAGCCCUCAGUUAUCUCCUGCUCCUGGAGACAGAAGGUUACCAAAAUCUUAAAUUCUUUUGCAAAGGAGUCUUUGAAAAAGGAACAGUGCGAAGAGAUUGCUCUGCCUGGCAAAAGCUCAUUUUGAAAGAAGGCUGAAACCUCAGUGAGUUAUGAGCCUGCUGAGAAAAUACCACCUCAGGAAAGGCUGGGCAGAAGACACUAAAAUUGAAUCUUGUCUGGAGUUUUGUGUGGACAUUGCUAUUGAGGGGACUCCAAGGAGGUGUUCUGAGUGUUACAGUGCAGACAGGGAGGAGCCUGGAGAGUGAGUUCACGCUCUUUAGUUUAGAAGAAAUGUCAUAGCGAAGAGUACUGAUGAUAUGUGAUGUUGUGCUCGCCCUGGGCGCAGUAACAGUUGCAAAGAUGGUAAAUAUGGUAAUGACCGCAGCCAGAGGUACUGGAAAAGGGUAAUAUCAGCCAUGUGUGAUUACACAGAAUAGUGGGCUUGAAGCUGGGAAAAAAAGCUUUGGCUGAGACGUGCCACACAUUGGAGGGAAGAGGGAGAACUGCUUGGCCGUUGAGAAAACCUCCGUGAAUUCAAUAGCAG
rnacentral:lncRNA from 1 species